rnacentral:rRNA from 1 species
AUUGAACGCUGGCGGCAGGCCUAACACAUGCAAGUCGAGCGAGCGGCGGACGGGGGCGUAAUGUCUGGGAAACUGCCUGUUGGAUGGGGAUAACUACUGGAAACGGUAGCUAAUACAGCAUACCAUCAGAUGUGCCCAGAUGGGAUUAGCUAGGAGGUGGGGGAACGGCUCACAUAGGCGACUAUCCACAGCUGGUCUGAGAGGAUGAUCAGCCACACUGGAACUGAGACACGGUCCAGACUCCUACGGGAGGCAGCAGUGGGGAAUAUUGCGAAAUGGACGAAAGCCUGAUGGAGCCAUGCCGCGUGUGUGAAGAAGGCCUUCGGGUUGUAAAGCACUGUCAGCGGGGAGGCGUUACCCGCAGAAGAAGCACCGGCUAACUCCGUGCCAGCAGCCGCGGUAAUAC